GCAAGUCUGGCCCGUUCCCCAGCGGAAACAAGGCUUCUUCCACCUGCCCCGCCUUCUCGACCAGAGGCGGGAACGAGGCUGAGGCUCGCUUUCCAGGGUUUUCUUAACACCUCGGGCCAGUAGCAGCUCCAGUGCCUCUGGGUUUCUGUGGAAGGUGUGGGGGCGUUGUUUCGAUUUCGGGCUGAGCAUCCCGAGUGCUGCGCCCUUCCAGGCUGCGCCCUUCCAGCCUCGACUUGUGUCCAGUGCCUCUCAAUGAAUAUUUCAGGACUAUCGACGCAUGCUUAUCAUGAGGAAAUUGCUUGUUUAUGCAGAGCAUGGUGCCGACGCUCCAGAACACAGCUGUUUUUGUCAGAAGUUAGGAGACCGUGAGUGACGUGGAGAAAGGUCCUAGGAACAGGGUUCUAGAACUCCAGAGUGCCUGCCUGGAAAUUUGAAGGGUAUCACGCUGGUAAGACAUCCAAACUUCACUGAGUUGGGGGCAGCUGGGGGUGGGUGGUGUCAGAAUUUGCUUACGUGUCUUGUCCCUGGCUGGCUGGUGGGAGUGACGUGGCAGAACAGCAGAGUUAAGAAAAGAUCAGACCUUGGAUAAGAGAGCCAGUGGGGACAGAAUUCCUCUGGGACUAUAGGAUUAUGUUUUCAAUGGUAGACCCCGCAAAGAGAAAAGAGCAUUUCUCCCGCCUCUCCCAAGGCCCAGGAAAAACAAAGAAAAGUGUCCAUGAUGAAAAAAAAAAAAUCUAUACA